rnacentral:rRNA from 1 species
AUUGAACGCUGGCGGCAGGCCUAACACAUGCAAGUCGAGCGAGCGGCGGACGGGUGAGUAAUGUAUGGGGACUGCACGAUAGAGGGGGAUAACUACUGGAAACGGUGGCUACUACCGCAUACUCUCGGAUAACACAUAUGGGAUUAGCUAGUAGGUGGGGUAAAGGCGCACCUAGGCGACGAUCUCUAGCUGGUCUGAGAGGGUGAUCGUCCACGCUGGGACUGAGAUGCGUCCCUGACUCCUGCGGAGGCAGCAGUGGGGAAUAUGUCACAUUGGGCGCAAGCCUGAUGCAGCCAUGCCGCGUGUAUGUAGGAGGCCUUAGGGUUGUAAAGUACUUGCAGCGGGGAGGCAUUACCCGCAGAAGAAGCACGGGGUAACUCCGUGCCAGCAGCCGCGGUAAUUC